UACGUAGGGUGCGAGCGUUGUCCGGAAUUAUUGGGCGUAAAGGGCUCGUAGGCGGUUUGUCGCGUCGGGAGUGAAAUCCACUGGCUUAACUGGUGGCUUGCUUUCGAUACGGGCAGACUGGAGGUAUGCAGGGGAGAACGGAAUUCUUGGUGUAGCGGUGAAAUGCGUAGAUAUCAAGAGGAACACCUGAGGUGAAGACGGGUUGCUGGGCUGACACUGACGCUGAGGCGCGAAAGCCAGGGGAGCAAACGGG
rnacentral:rRNA from 1 species